GAUGAACGCUGGCGGCGUGCCUAAUACAUGCAAGUCGAGCGAACGGACGAGAAGCUUGCUUCUCUGAUGUUAGCGGCGGACGGGUGAGUAACACGUGGAUAACCUACCUAUAAGACUGGGAUAACUUCGGGAAACCGGAGCUAAUACCGGAUAAUAUUUUGAACCGCAUGGUUCAAAAGUGAAAGACGGUCUUGCUGUCACUUAUAGAUGGAUCCGCGCUGCAUUAGCUAGUUGGUAAGGUAACGGCUUACCAAGGCAACGAUGCAUAGCCGACCUGAGAGGGUGAUCGGCCACACUGGAACUGAGACACGGUCCAGACUCCUACGGGAGGCAGCAGUAGGGAAUCUUCCGCAAUGGGCGAAAGCCUGACGGAGCAACGCCGCGUGAGUGAUGAAGGUCUUCGGAUCGUAAAACUCUGUUAUUAGGGAAGAACAUAUGUGUAAGUAACUGUGCACAUCUUGACGGUACCUAAUCAGAAAGCCACGGCUAACCACGUGCCAGCAGCCGCGGUAAUACGUAGGUGGCAAGCGUUAUCCGGAAUUAUUGGGCGUAAAGCGCGCGUAGGCGGUUUUUUAAGUCUGAUGUGAAAGCCCACGGCUCAACCGUGGAGGGUCAUUGGAAACUGGAAAACUUGAGUGCAGAAGAGGAAAGUGGAAUUCCAUGUGUAGCGGUGAAAUGCGCAGAGAUAUGGAGGAACACCAGUGGCGAAGGCGACUUUCUGGUCUGUAACUGACGCUGAUGUGCGAAAGCGUGGGGAUCAAACAGGAUUAGAUACCCUGGUAGUCCACGCCGUAAACGAUGAGUGCUAAGUGUUAGGGGGUUUCCGCCCCUUAGUGCUGCAGCUAACGCAUUAAGCACUCCGCCUGGGGAGUACGACCGCAAGGUUGAAACUCAAAGGAAUUGACGGGGACCCGCACAAGCGGUGGAGCAUGUGGUUUAAUUCGAAGCAACGCGAAGAACCUUACCAAAUCUUGACAUCCUUUGACAACUCUAGAGAUAGAGCUUUCCCCUUCGGGGGACAAAGUGACAGGUGGUGCAUGGUUGUCGUCAGCUCGUGUCGUGAGAUGUUGGGUUAAGUCCCGCAACGAGCGCAACCCUUAAGCUUAGUUGCCAUCAUUAAGUUGGGCACUCUAAGUUGACUGCCGGUGACAAACCGGAGGAAGGUGGGGAUGACGUCAAAUCAUCAUGCCCCUUAUGAUUUGGGCUACACACGUGCUACAAUGGACAAUACAAAGGGCAGCGAAACCGUGAGGUCAAGCAAAUCCCAUAAAGUUGUUCUCAGUUCGGAUUGUAGUCUGCAACUCGACUACAUGAAGCUGGAAUCGCUAGUAAUCGUAGAUCAGCAUGCUACGGUGAAUACGUUCCCGGGUCU
rnacentral:rRNA from 1 species